rnacentral:rRNA from 1 species
UACGUAGGGGGCAAGCGUUGUCCGGAAUCAUUGGGCGUAAAGCGCGUGUAGGCGGCUUGGUAAGUCGGCUCUGAAAGCCCGGGGCUCAACCCCGGGAGGCGGGUCGAUACUGUCAAGCUCGAGUCCGGAAGAGGCGAGUGGAAUUCCCGGUGUAGCGGUGAAAUGCGCAGAUAUCGGGAGGAACACCAGUGGCGAAGGCGGCGACCUGGGCAGAAACUGACGAUCAGGUGCGAAAGCGUGGGGAGCAAACAGG